rnacentral:lncRNA from 1 species
CCAAAACUUUAGUGUGAGCCCAACAGUGAGGCCAACUGGCUUUAACAGGUUGUACCUUCUAUUUGUGUUGUGAAGCUCAGGGAAACAAAGGUUAAAGAAACCAAUAUUUACAGAUGAAUGUAGCUAAAGAAGCAGGGAAAGGAGAUGGGCGCUUUUGCUUUUAACCCCACAGAAGCUGGGUUUAAUGUAGGGAAACUGAUAUCAGGGCUGGUACCACAAAGAACCUUUCAGUAGGGCUGGUACCAUUGUUCCCUAAGUCAGUGUAGAGUCUGUGUCCUGGGAGGUUGAUCUGCUCGUGUUUCCAGCUGUUGUUAACAGAGGUGCUUGUUGCACCUCCAUUUUUUCCAAUCUACAGAAUACUGCAGUCUGUUCUACCCGCUCCAUAGAGAAAGGCACUCUGAUGGUGAACAUGUUAACAGUUUGAACGUCAGAGAGACAUCUGGCUGCUCUCAGACUGAGCCCAGGCAGCACUGCCAUGGAGAAAUGAGGUAAACAAUUAGAUUUUGCUCCCCAGGAGAAUGCAUCGACAAGCACGGCUGCUGCCAGAUCUGUGAAGCCUCAUGUGCCAUGUGCUGGGGCCCACCCGGGAAGCCUGCCCUGGCUGCCCCAUCACAAGGGGGGGGCCCCUCAAUGUCUCCUGGAGUUGAGAGCUCAUGGGUACAGGAUGGAGACAGGAGCUGCUUCUCACCUUAGAAGCACCCCUUGGGCCUGCAGGAAAAAGAAUCAAACUCUUUCCCAUGAAGGAGGGUGUCUUUCCAGGGAAAUCUUCUUCUCCAAGAACAAUCUUCUUCUCAUUUCCCUGAGCACACCAUUUCUUUCCCCAUCUCUCUUCCUUUACGUCAAUUACUUGAAAAUAUGUCCAACAAAGGGCAUCAUACUCUGACAAGGAACUACCUGACUUCUUUUCUUAUCUGCAUUUUCUUGGAACAGGGUUGAGAAGACGGGGAGAAAGAAACCACUUUGAAAGAUGGUGAUGAUGACUUCUUUGCUUGAAAGGGCAGCAAAGUAUUUUCCUUAAGUAUUUUCUUGGGUGGAAUCAGGUCCAUUCAAGAGUCGUAAGCAUCUGCUUUCUGUCAUGUCUGAGGUAGGUGCAGGGUGCAUGACUUCUUACAGUGACUCAGGAGGUCAGAGUCAAGGGAUGGUGAAGCACUCAGGGACAGGCAGCAGUGGGGCAGCUUUAACACCCCAGGCCUGAAGCACAAGCCUCAAUCGUGGAAGAGGGGACACCUGACAGAAACUGGAGCUGUGGGGACACAGCCCCUCCAGAACCAUGGAAGGAGGGAGCAGAGUUGUGGCUCUG